AAUACUUUGGCAAGUUUGAGAAUUUUUUUUUCUUAAUUCUUCUUAAUUUGUUAAUUCAUACAAAAAAAAAGGCUAAUGAUGAGGUGAUUCUGUUGGAUUUUUGGCCUAGCAUGUUAGGUAUGAGGGUAAGGAUUGCACUUGCUGAAAAAGAGGUUAAAUAUGAGUACAAAGAAGAAGAUUUGAGGAAUAAAAGUCCUCUGCUUUUGCAAAUGAAUCCUAUCCACAAGAAAAUCCCUGUUUUGAUUCAUAAUGGAAAACCAAUCUGUGAGUCUCUUAUUGGAGUUGAGUACAUUGACGAAGUUUGGAAGGAUAAAUCCCCUUUGCUCCCUUCUGACCCUUAUGAGAGGGCACAAGCUAGGUUCUGGGGUGACUACAUUGACAAGAAGUUGUUUGAUACAGCAAAGAAGAUUUAUUCAGCAACGGGAGACGAACAGGAGGCAGGGAAGAAAGAUUUCAUAGAAAUCCUUAAAGUGUUGGAGGAAGCCUUAUUAUGGAGGAGAUAACUUUGGUUUUGGGGAUAUUGCUCUGAUUGGGUUCUACUGCUGGUUUCAUGCUUAUGAGAUUUAUGGUAACUUCAACAUUGAGGCUGAGUGCCCAAAGCUUGUGGCUUGGGGCAAGAGGUGCAUGCAGAGGGACAGUGUGGCUAAAACUUUGCCUGACCAACAUAAGAUCCUUGAGUUUGCAAAAAUUCUUAGGGAAAAGCUUGGACUUGAAUAAACAUAUGCAUAU